UACAGAGGGGGCAAGCGUUGUUCGGAUUUACUGGGCGUAAAGGGCGCGUAGGCGGCCAGCACAAGUCAGUUGUGAAAUCUCCGAGCUUAACUCGGAAAGGUCAACUGAUACUGUGCGGCUAGAGUGCGGAAGGGGCAACUGGAAUUCUUGGUGUAGCGGUGAAAUGCGUAGAUAUCAAGAGGAACACCUGCGGCGAAGGCGGGUUGCUGGGCCGACACUGACGCUGAUGCGCGAAAGCCAGGGGAGCGAACGGG
rnacentral:rRNA from 1 species